UGGGGAAUAUUGCACAAUGGGCGCAAGCCUGAUGCAGCCAUGCCGCGUGUGUGAAGAAGGCCUUCGGGUUGUAAAGCACUUUCAGCGAGGAGGAAGGGUUCAGUGUUAAUAGCACUGUUCAUUGACGUUACUCGCAGAAGAAGCACCGGCUAACUCCGUGCCAGCAGCCGCGGUAAUACGGAGGGUGCAAGCGUUAAUCGGAAUUACUGGGCGUAAAGCGCACGCAGGCGGUUUGUUAAGUCAGAUGUGAAAUCCCCGCGCUUAACGUGGGAACUGCAUUUGAAACUG
rnacentral:rRNA from 1 species